rnacentral:tRNA from 1 species
ACCUUCGUGGUGUAGUGGUCAGCACACUCGACGCGUAACCGAGAGGCACGUGGUUCGAAUCCCGGCGAGGGCA